AAAAAGGCAAACCCUAAGUUUCCGUGUCCGUCUUACAUGAAUUUUUUUUAUAAUUCAUAUUUUCAUUGUUGUUAGAUGAUAAAACAUGAUUAAUAUUUUAUGCGUGACUUAUCUUUUUAAUUUUUUUUAAAUAAGACGGACGGUCAAACGUUGGACACGGAAACCAGGGUUUAUCUUUUC
rnacentral:pre_miRNA from 1 species